GGUGUAUGCGCCCUAUAGAAGCUGCGCCCCCAAUUUUGGAACCUGUAUGGGUGUGGGCGCCAGGGGCGGGGCCUCGCGGGCGCUGGAGCCGGGAUUGCCAUCGAUGAGUACAAGCCCCAGGAUGCCACCACCAACCCAUCCCUGAUCCUGGCUGCAGCACAGAUGCCUGCCUACCAAGAGCUGGUGGAGGAGGCCAUUGCCUACGGCAAGAAGCUGGGUGGGCCACAAGAGGAGCAGAUUAAAAAUGCCAUUGAUAAACUUUUUGUGCUGUUUGGGGCAGAAAUACUAAAGAAGAUUCCAGGCCGUGUAUCCACAGAAGUCGAUGCAAGGCUUUCCUUUGAUAAGGAUGCCAUGGUGGCCCGAGCCAGGCGCAUCAUAGAGCUUUACAAAGAAGCUGGGAUCAGCAAGGACAGAAUUCUCAUCAAGUUAUCAUCAACCUGGGAGGGAAUCCAGGCCGGAAAGCCGUGGCCUGCGCUGAAGCGGGCGUGACGCUCAUCUCUCCCUUUGUGGGGCGCAUCCUUGACUGGCAUGUGGCAAACACAGACAAGAAAUCCUACGAACCCCAGGAGGACCCUGGGGUGAAGAGUGUCACAAAAAUCUACAACUACUACAAAAAGUUUGGCUACAAGACCAUUGUCAUGGGUGCUUCCUUCCGUAACACGGGUGAGAUCAAAGCGCUGGCAGGCUGUGAUUUCCUCACCAUCUCACCCAAGCUUCUGGGGGAGCUGCUCAAGGACAGCAGCAAGCUGGCACCCACGCUUUCCGUCAAAGCAGGUAAGGCCAAGGGGCCCAAUAAAAACCCCGUGUGGGUGGAGCUAGCACUGGCCUUGAUGGGAGAUUCUUAGCUUAAGCCUGAGGGGCAGUGAUAAGUCCAAGGGAAGACAGGCAUGGAGAGCUGUGGUAUCCCCAGCCCAGACCAGUGACUUGGAGAAGAUACAUCUGGACGAGAAGGCCUUCCGUUGGCUGCACAAUGAGGACCAAAUGGCUGUGGAGAAGCUCUCUGAUGGGAUCCGCAAGUUUGCUG
rnacentral:lncRNA from 1 species